UCCUGAACAAGACCAGGUUUCCUGCAAGA
rnacentral:piRNA from 1 species